UACGUAGGCGGAAAAUUAAGUCAGUAGUGAAAUCCUGCAGCUUAACUGUAGAACUGUUAUUGAUACUGGUUUUCUUGAAUAUAGUUGAAGUAGGCGGAAUGUGUAAUGUAGCGGUGAAAUGCUUAGAUAUUACACAGAACACCGAUUGCGAAGGCAGCUUACUAAGCUAUGAUUGACGCUGAGGUACGAAAGCGUGGGGAGCGAACCGGAUUAGAUGCCCUGGUAGUCC
rnacentral:rRNA from 1 species